rnacentral:misc_RNA from 1 species
GUGGGAGCGAGCCCUGCUCGCGAUAACGUUGUGUCAGUCGAUGACUACUUGGCUGAUAUACCGUCAUCGCGAGCAGGGCUCGCUCCCAC